rnacentral:rRNA from 1 species
GAUGAACGCUGGCGGCGUGCCUAAUACAUGCAAGUCGAGCGAACGGACGAGAAGCUUGCUUUUCUGAUGUUAGCGGCGGACGGGUGAGUAACACGUGGAUAACCUACCUAUAAGACUGGGAUAACUUCGGGAAACCGGAGCUAAUACCGGAUAAUAUUUUGAACCGCAUGGUUCAAAAGUGAAAGACGGUCUUGCUGUCACUUAUAGAUGGAUCCGCGCUGCAUUAGCUAGUUGGUAAGGUAACGGCUUACCAAGGCAACGAUGCGUAGCCGACCUGAGAGGGUGAUCGGCCACACUGGAACUGAGACACGGUCCAGACUCCUACGGGAGGCAGCAGUAGGGAAUCUUCCGCAAUGGGCGAAAGCCUGACGGAGCAACGCCGCGUGAGUGAUGAAGGUCUUCGGAUCGUAAAACUCUGUUAUUAGGGAAGAACAAAUGUGUAAGUAACUGUGCACAUCUUGACGGUACCUAAUCAGAAAGCCACGGCUAACUACGUG